rnacentral:rRNA from 1 species
UGUUGGGAUGCUUUUGUCGAGGAUUCAGUCUACGAGGCACAAAUACAAAAAUUCAACUGUAAAAGGCAAAGAACCUUGAAAAAUAUAAAUAGUUUAACUGGCAGCUCAAUGGAAGGCACUAAGUUGGGUUCCUCUCAUGACAAGGAAAAUAAGAGCAAAGAACAUCUUUUCCUGAGUGCUAAAGUGUGUCUCCUUUCGUUAAAGCGAACUUUGGAAGAUCUUCAUAAGAAAGAUUUAUUCCCUUACAAUCCAAAGCCUCUACUUAAAAGCUUGUCCAGAUUUGAGGAGCUCUAUGUGCAGUACUGA